UACCAGCACCCCGAGUGGUCGGGACGAUUAUUGGGCCUAAAGCAUCCGUAGCCGGUUCUACAAGUCUUCCGUUAAAUCCACCUGCUUAACAGAUGGGCCGCGGAGGAUACUAUAGAGCUAGGAGGCGGGAGAGGCAAGCGGUACUUAGUGGGUAGGGGUAAAAUCCGUUGAUCCAUUGAAGACCACCAGUGGCGAAGGCGGCUUGCCAGAACGCACUCGACGGUGAGGGAUGAAAGCUGGGGGAGCAAACCGG
rnacentral:rRNA from 1 species